UCCACAGUAGCUCAGUGGUUGAGCAAUCGGCUGUUAACCGAUCGGUCGUAGGUUCGAGUCCUACCUGUGGAGCCA
rnacentral:tRNA from 1 species